rnacentral:rRNA from 1 species
GACGAACGCUGGCGGCGUGCCUAAUACAUGCAAGUCGAGCGCAGGAAACUGACGGAACUCUUCGGAGGGAAGGCAGUGGAAUGAGCGGCGGACGGGUGAGUAACACGUAAGGAACCUGCCUCAAGGAUUGGGAUAACUCCGAGAAAUCGGAGCUAAUACCGGAUAGUUCAACGGACCGCAUGGUCCGCUGAUGAAAGGCGCUUCGGCGUCACCUUGAGAUGGCCUUGCGGUGCAUUAGCUAGUUGGUGGGGUAACGGCCCACCAAGGCGACGAUGCAUAGCCGACCUGAGAGGGUGAUCGGCCACACUGGGACUGAGACACGGCCCACACUCCUACGGGAGGCAGCAGUAGGGAAUCUUCCACAAUGGACGAAAGGCUGAUGGAGCAACGCCGCGUGAGUGAUGAAGGUUUUCGGAUCGUAAAACUCUGUUGUAAGGGAAGAACACGUACGAGAGGAAAUGCUCGUACCUUGACGGUACCUUACGAGAAAGCCACGGCUAACUACGUGCCAGCCGCCGCGGUAA